rnacentral:rRNA from 1 species
UGGGGAAUAUUGGGCAAUGGGCGAAAGCCUGACCCAGCCACGCCGCGUGAGUGAUGAAGGCCUUCGGGUCGUAAAGCUCUGUGGGGAGGGACGAAUAAGCUGGCAGUUAACACCUGCCGGCCCUGACGGUACCUCCUUAGCAAGCACCGGCUAACCAUGUGCCAGCAGCCGCGGUAAUACAUGGGGUGCAAACGUUGCUCGGAAUUAUUGGGCGUAAAGCGCACGUAGGCGGUUCGUUAAGUCAGAUGUGAAAGCCCUCGGCUCAACCGAGGAAGUGCAUCUGAAACUGGCGAGCUAGAGUACUAAAGAGGGUCGCGGAAUUCCCGGUGUAGAGGUGAAAUUCGUAGAUAUCGGGAGGAACACCGGUGGCGAAGGCGGCGACCUGGGUAGAUACUGACGCUGAGGUGCGAAAGCGUGGGGAGCAAACAG